rnacentral:rRNA from 1 species
AUACGUAGGUGGCGAGCGUUGUUCGGAUUUAUUGGGCGUAAAGGGUCCGCAGGUGGUUGGAUAAGUUUGACGUGAAAUCCCAGAGCUCGACUCUGGAACUGCGUUGAAAACUGUCCGACUGGAGUAUCGGAGAGGAGAUUGGAAUUCCAGGUGUAGCGGUGGAAUGCGUAGAUAUCUGGAAGAACACCGAAAGCGAAGGCAGAUCUCUGGACGAUAACUGACACUCAGGGACGAAAGUAUGGGGAUCAAACAGGAUUAGAUACCCUGGUAGUCCAUACCCUAAACGUUGUCAACUUGAUGUGAGAAGUAGUUUACUCCUUUUCGUGUCGAAGCAAACGCGAUAAGUUGACCGCCUGGGAACUACGGCCGCAAGGCUAAAACUCAAAUGAAUUGGCGGGG